rnacentral:lncRNA from 1 species
CACUGCUGUACUAUGACGAAAGGCUUGAUAAGAUAAAACUGUGCAGUAGUUUUACACCUGUAACUAUAUAUAGUGUUACUAAACUGCAUGCUAAAAGUUUCCGUUGACUGUUAGAAUGGUGGCUUGUAAGUGGGGGUAUCUUGCUAGGGUUUGCACAUUUAAAUAUUUACAAGUGCAUUAGGUCUCUUAGGUUUUAAGACCAACAUGAGCGAGUGAGAUAAACUCGACUAGCUUAGGAUAAGGCAUCAAGCGUGAAAUCCACGCACUAGACCCCUCAGGAUCGGAUCCCAAACCUUUUUUCAAUGCCAAAUGUGAAAUUACCCCCACCUUACCACAUCGUUGAAGAAUUAUGGUGGAUAUCUUGGGCAAAUGUGCAAUACUAUGAGGGAUAUCUUAGGCAAAUGUGCAAUACUAUGAGGGAUAUCUUGGGCAAAUGUGCAUUUUCUUGGUGGAUAUCUUGGGUAAAUGUGCAAUAUCAUCAGGAAUAUCUUGGGCAGAUGUGCAAUAUGAUGAGGGAUAUCUUGGCAAACAUCUUGGAUAAAUUUAUCUUAAAUUGCUAAAGAACAAUGUUGUAAGGUUAGUGGAUAUUUAUAUUAGCGAUAAAAUGGGAGUUCCUUGCGCAUAUGAACGAAGUAAGGGUGGCUAAUGGAGUGUAACAAUCUAACAAUAUAGACUUUGAUGGCUUGAACCAUGGCAUAGAUUAUAGAUAUACCAGAUGUCUCACUAUGUAUCUAUCCCUAUGAUUUUCGUGUCCGCGAUUUUCGCGAGGCUAUCACGCCAGAUGACGCGUGCGACACUUACUGCCAAAAUGGCGCGUACUGCCAAAAUGCGUGAUUGCUCACGUUUCAUGGCGUGGAUUACACUUACUGCCAAAAUGGCGGCCAACGUGUGCUCAUAAAAAAUCACGAACACAAUUUUUGCUGAGUGAG